AGUGAGGAAACUUCUCACAAUUCUCGUGGUCCACAAGAUCACCUCCUUCUGCGCCUUCUCUAUUAGGUCUUCGUGAAGUCCAAGUUUCGCUGUGUUCCCAGUCAGAUGCAUCUCAACCAGCCCAUUCGUAGUGAUGACCAGAGGAAGUAUAGUUAUGUGGUGUACGCUUUUUCAGCGUUGUCGUCGGCCGGUACGGUGAUGUCAACUAUAGUGGCUCGGUUUUCCAUCUUUUCAAGGAUGACAAUAUCAGGCCGGUUGUGCGCGAUUGGCCUGUCAGUUAUCAGUGGAUGGUCCCAAUACACCUUCACAGCAUCAUUUUCCUGAACUUGUUUUGGGCGAUGGCUUGGUGGAAUACUUUUGCCAUGGAAUUGUGCCGAUCCGUGUAUUCCCUGGGAGCGAGCGCGGGGCAAGAUGAUGUGACAUGCUGAAUUGUUUCUGGUGCCUGAGAGCAUUUACGGCACUUAUCACUAGGAAGAUUUCUGCCCGUUAUGUUUUUCUGAUACGCUCUUGUAGGGACCACCUGAUCCUGGAUCGCUGCCAGUCUACCUUCCGUUUCUGGAAAAAGGACCGUUGGAUAUCUUCCGUGAAGUGCCCUGCCAUGCCAAUCCUCGCACAGUUCCUCGAUGGUUGGAGGUUCAGCCGGAUGAUGUUCAGAAGCCAGGUUCAGCGCCGUAAUGCCUUGAUCUUCCCUGGAGAGAGCUUUAUAGAAAGGUAAGUGUUUUGAUUUGAAGUACUCUCUCAUAUC